UCCCUACUUGUAAAUCGCCGCUCCCUUCCACUCCCUUCACAUUUCCUUCCGUCUGCUUUAAGUGGACCAAGCCUACAGAUUCCGUCCCUUCCCCUUUCCUUCCUAGACCAAGCCUGCAGAUACGUUCAAGGUUUCAUCAACGAUGCUUCUGCUUCGUCUCAGCGUCUCCCAACUGUCCUUCUUCUCCGCCGCUCGUUCCGGCUUUGUUCAUGAUUGGACUGUGGAAGCCACACCUUUUCUUCGCAAGUUCGUUCGGCUGACAGGCUUCCUUACGGAUGGGAUUUCGACACUCGCCAAGUCGCCCACCUACUGCCCGCUUCUGCAACGAAAGAAUCCUUGUAGAUUAUCUUGAGUGUGUUGGAUGGGUAUAAUGGGACAGUAAUAGCUAAAGAUGAUGUGAUUAAGCGUGGCAUCAUGGCUAGAGCAUUGGAAGACAUAAUUGUCAAUACAUCUCCUGAGACUGCCAGUAUGAAAAUUUCCUAUCUUUUCAGGUGUACAUGGAAUCCAUACAAGAUUUGCUUGCUCAUGAAAAGAUAAACAUCCCAAUUGUUGAGGAUGCAAAGACUGACAAGUAUUGGUACCUAGUGCCACUACGGUUAAAAUUCAGGAUCUUCACCAUUUCAAGCAGCUAUUGCAAACUGGAGAAGCUAAUCGUUAUGCUACUUUAUAUAAUUUAUUUAUAAUUUAAACACAAGUAAUUUUGUUCAAAUAAUUGAUGAAGUAAUUAUAUCCAAUUGAGUUUGUGUGGUGUUUUUUCCCAAGUGUAGUGGUGGCUUCUAUUUUUAAUCCAUUACUAAUUAUGGUCAAAGAAAAUGUAAGAGCACUACAAUGAUAUAUAUGAAUUUUUCGAUUACAGUUAGUUUUAAUUUGCUAUUAGUUUCUAAAAUGUCUCUCUGUAUUCACCAGAACUGUCUGAGUGAUUCUAGUAGUUUAGUAUGUACAUGAUAAACUAGAUCAAAAGAACAAAUUUGAUAA